GGCACUGUGGCGGAGUGGUUAACGCGUUUGCCUCGAAAGCAAAUUCCUUCGGGAGCGUGUGUUCGAAUCACACCGGUGUCG
rnacentral:tRNA from 17 species